rnacentral:misc_RNA from 1 species
AACGCACCUUGCGCCCUGUGGUAUUCCGCAGGGCAUGCCCGUUUGAGUGUCAUUAAAUCAUCAACUCUAAACACCUUGUGUGCUUUAGUGCUUGGUCUUGAGGGUCUUGCAGGCGCUUCGACGUCUGCUCCCUUUAAAUCCAUUAGCGAGACUUCCCUUUGCUGAACCGUCUCUUGGCGUGAUAGUUAUCUGCGUCAAACUUGGACAGUUCUCAUUGGGCUUGCUUCUAAUCGUCUUUGGACAAUCGAUUUGGGUGCAUAUAUGCGCUCCAUUUCAAACCUUUUUUGACCUCAAAUCGGGUAGGACUACCCGCUGAACUUAA